GUGCCAGCCGCCGCGGUAAUACCGGCAGCUCAAGUGAUGUCCCAUAUUAUUGGGCCUAAAGCGUCCGUAGCUGGCCGCGCAAGUCCAUCGGGAAAUCCACCUGCUCAACGGGUGGGCGCCCGGUGGAAACUGUGCGGCUUGGGACCGGAAGGCGCGACGGGUACGUCCGGGGUAGGAGUGAAAUCCCGUAAUCCUGGACGGACCGCCGAUGGCGAAGCACGUCGCGAGAACGGAUCCGACAGUGAGGGACGAAAGCCAGGGUCUCGAACCGGAUUAGAAACCCCAGUAGUCC
rnacentral:rRNA from 1 species